rnacentral:lncRNA from 1 species
GUUCUCAAUUUAUGCAAUAGCCGCGGUACUAUCGCAAUGGAUCAACACAUCUGACAUAGAUUAUUCCAUAAAGGAAUCUCAAAUAGCAAGCAACCAACUUGCUUCUUCACUAGCUGUGGCUAGUGGUAUCAUUUCAAACUUCAUAUUGAAUUAAGCCAAUAUAAUAUGUUUCUCUGAUUUCCAAGAUACAGUUUCUCUACUAUAUAUUUCAAAUAUAUAGUCACUAAUUGUUUUGG